CAGCAGUCAAGAAUAUUAGUCAAUGCUCGCAAGAGUGAACUAGCUAACUGAAAUCACAAAAUCACUUAAUCGUGCUUAUUGUGAUAACGUAGGGGAAAAUAAUGAUAAUACCUUACUAUAAGUGUUGUCUAAAUUACUGGUGCCAGAAGACUCGGUAACACCAGAAACGCGAACGUUAGUCGUCUUAAACAGGCGUAAAGGGUCAGUAGGCAGCUUUCAAAUCUUUAUCUACCUUUAUUAUUACCUGCCUAAUCCUUAUUUUUUAACCCUAUCCCUUAAAAAAAAAAGCUUCUUUUUUUUUUGGAGGUGUUUAAAUGAUAAGGAAGAGAUGGGAGUUAUAAAAAGGAUACUAAGCCCUAAUUUAAAAAAUACCUUUUCCCGCUAAGGCGGGGACAGUCUUUAUACCCCAUCGAAGUUCCACCUUUGCUCGCAUGCUUGCAAAGGCCAGAGUGGAUCGGGUUACAAAUAAAUGUACUUAGCUUUUUUAAAUUAGUAUAUGGAUAAAGAGAAUAAAAGCUAGAAUCAUAUAGAGGAUAAACCAAAUAAUGCUUAUGAGGAGGGAUUAUAUCCUUAGAUACUAAGUAGAAUACUAAUGGUGAAAGCUUUUAUCUAUUAAUGAUUGACGCUGAGGGACGAAAGUGAGAAUAGGGAAUAGGAUUAGAUACCCAGUUACCUCUCACCGUCAACGAUGAAUGGUAGUUGUUAAUUUAUUUAAAAUUAGUAACGAUGUUAACGCGAUAACCAUUCCGCCUUGAGAGUACGGUUGCAAAACUGAAACCAAAAAAAUUAGUCGGUCUCGGAGCAAACGAAGUGAAGCAUGUUAUUUAAUUCGAUAAUCCGC
rnacentral:rRNA from 1 species